rnacentral:rRNA from 1 species
CGCAUGAAAGAAGUUUUAAAAAAGGACGGCGUAAGCUGUCGCUAAAGGAUGGACCUGCGAUGCAUUAGCUAGUUGGUAAGGUAACGGCUUACCAAGGCGAUGAUGCAUAGCCGAGUUGAGAGACUGAUCGGCCACAUUGGGACUGAGACACGGCCCAAACUCCUACGGGAGGCAGCAGUAGGGAAUCUUCCACAAUGGACGCAAGUCUGAUGGAGCAACGCCGCGUGAGUGAAGAAGGUUUUCGGAUCGUAAAGCUCUGUUGUUGGUGAAGAAGGAUAGAGGUAGUAACUGGCCUUUAUUUGACGGUAAUCAACCAGAAAGUUACGGGCUAACUACGUGCCAGCAGCCGCGGUAAAU